GCGAGGCUGGGCAACUACCCAGGCUCUUCCUCGUGUAACCUCAAGCCCUAACACCACUUCCAACAACCUUUCAUUCAAUCUCUUUCACUUUCACACAAUAUUCCUCACUUUCAUCACACCAUACACACCCCAACAUAAUCUCCAUGCCGCCCCGCCGCUUCCUCAACGUCUCAGCCGCUCAUGACGUCAACCAGUCCCUUCAUGAGUCGCCACCAGAAUCCACUCAUCGUCGCCACUGGUUGUGGCUUAUGUAUCAAAUUGUUAUCGAUGUCGUUACCACCAUUUUGCAACUUGUACACUAAGCGUUCGAGCUAAGUUUGGAAGCUUCUUUAAGAGUGGACGGUUUAAUCCACCAGUCGUGCAGUAUCGUCGGAUGAGCAUUGCUUUGGUUUCUUCUUCCAAGGGUAACUCAUAAUCACCAUCAACAUUUUAUUUUAGAGUUAUAGGAUGUAGCAUUGGUUCUUUCUUUACCGACCAUGAUG